rnacentral:rRNA from 1 species
GCCCGCUCAGAACUUAAAGGAAUGACGGGGCCCGCACAAGCGGUGGAGUAUGUGGUUUAAUUCGAUGCAACGCGAAGAACUUACCUGGUCUUGACAUCCCGGAGACCCUUAGGAAACUAGGGGUGCUUCCAUCUGGAAGAAUCUGGAGACAGGUGCUGCAUGGCUGUCGUCAGCUCGUGUCGUGAGAUGUUGGGUUAAGUCCCGCAACGAGCGCAACCCUUGCCUUUAGUUGCCAGCAGUUCGGCUGGGCACUCUAAAGGGACUGCCGGUGUUAAACCGGAGGAAGGUGGGGAUGACGUCAAGUCCUCAUGGCCUUUAUGACCAGGGCUACACACGUACUACAAUGGCCGAUACAAAGGGCAGCGACACUGCGAGGUGAAGCCAAUCCCGUAAAAUCGGUCUCAGUCCGGAUUGGAGUCUGCAACUCGACUCCAUGAAGUUGGAAUCGCUAGUAAUCGUGGAUCAGCAUGCCACGGUGAAUACGUUCCCGGGCCUU